GGCUGAUUUGUGGGGCUCAGAA
rnacentral:miRNA from 2 species